AUAUUAUUUUGGAAUAAAGGUGCCUAUUUGGCUUAAAAGGGAAGCUGGUGAAAAUCCAGCGCGGCCCCGCCACUGUAACCGAGGACGAAAUCCACAGUAUGCCACUGGGAAGUAUUCCUGGGAAGGCGUGGAGAGUAGGAUGAUUCGGAAGCCAGGAGACCUGCCUUUAUUUCAAAACGUUU
rnacentral:ncRNA from 2 species